AGAGUUUGAUCAUGGCUCAGAAUCAACGCUGGCGGCGUGCCUAACACAUGCAAGUCGAACGAGAAAGUGGAGCAAUCCAUGAGUAAAGUGGCGCACGGGUGAGUAACACGUGACUAACCUACCCUUGAGUGGGGAAUAACCUAGGGAAACCUGGGCUAAUACCGCAUAACACCUACGGGUCAAAGGAGCAAUUCGCUUAAGGAGGGGGUCGCGGCAGAUUAGCUAGUUGGCGGGGUAAUGGCCCACCAAGGCAGUGAUCUGUAUCCGGCCUGAGAGGGCGCACGGACACACUGGAACUGAAACACGGUCCAGACUCCUACGGGAGGCAGCAGUGGGGAAUUUUGCGCAAUGGGGGAAACCCUGACGCAGCAACGCCGCGUGGAGGAUGAAGUCCCUUGGGACGUAAACUCCUUUCGACCGGGAAGAUUAUGACGGUACCGGAAGAAGAAGCCCCGGCUAACUUCGUGCCAGCAGCCGCGGUAAUACGAGGGGGGCAAGCGUUGUUCGGAAUUAUUGGGCGUAAAGGGUGCGUAGGCGGUUCGGUAAGUCUUGUGUGAAAUCUUCGGGCUCAACUCGAAGUCUGCACGAGAAACUGCCGGGCUUGAGUGUGGGAGAGGUGAGUGGAAUUUCCGGUGUAGCGGUGAAAUGCGUAGAUAUCGGAAGGAACACCUGUGGCGAAAGCGGCUCACUGGACCACAACUGACGCUGAGGCACGAAAGCUAGGGGAGCAAACAGGAUUAGAUACCCUGGUAGUCCUAGCCCUAAACGAUGAUCGCUUGGUGUGACGGGUACCCAAUCCCGCCGUGCCGAAGCUAACGCGUUAAGCGAUCCGCCUGGGGAGUACGGUCGCA
rnacentral:rRNA from 1 species